UGAAAUUGAAUUGCCCGGUUGGGUUUGCAAAGCAAUCUGAGGGUUUAUAUGAGAUGGAAUUGGUUCUUUGCAGAUGAGUUCCCUUCAGUCUCUGGAGGUUGCUCUGAACUCUGUUAGCUCUUCUCUCACUAUCUUUUUCCCUGCCAGGGUAAUAGGAAUAGAAUGGCCUUUUGUUUCACUGAAACUCUGAAUUUAUAACUUGAUUUUUGUGGACCUGUGGGCUCAAAUGAGAGAGGCCCAAGUCCAAAAAUUUU
rnacentral:lncRNA from 1 species